ensembl:lncRNA
CGCUGCGCUCUGCGGCGCUGCGCCAACCGGCGCCGGGCGCUGCUCGGGUCAGCCUCUCCCGGAGCCCUGGCGGGGAUGAGCACAAAGGCGUGAGGACGAGCCGUGGGACUCGAGGGUCAGAGCAAGGUGCCGCAGAAGCUAAAGCUUCGUUCCCACAAGCCGGGCGGCGAGCGCCAGCUCAACUACACGUGCACCGAUUAGGGAACGCGCUCGCUCGCUUUCGGCUGCUCGGUUAAAUCGCAGCACAUUGCACAACGUGAAAUGCAACCGAGGAUGUCGGUGCGCCUGGAAGGAGCCGUGCCCUGCCCGUGCCGCGCCGCCGGAGCCGCCUGGCUCUGCUCUCGCCCGCUCCCUCCAGAAAGUUCCCUCAGGGCGGGUUUGAAAGGAGAGCUGCUCGCCCAGACGACACCUGGAACGUAACAGAGGGCACUUCUGGCGAAAGGGCUUCAGCGCGGGGGUUACAACCUUCACACUCAUACACGAAACUCCCAGCAUCAAUAAAGGAAUCUAUCAAAUGGCUUAAAAGGAAAAGGGCUUUAUUGGGUGUGUUCGUCGCUUCCUUCUCUCUUGAUGUGACAAAGGGAAGAAAAUCGGGCGAAUUCCUUUGAAAGCCUUUAAGAGAAGGUCCGCUUCCGGAAGGAAGAAGCGAACAAACAAACAGAAAAGCGAUUUUCUGCUCGUUUUGCAAAAAAAUAUCAUUUGGAAGGAAAAAAAUAAAGUCUUGUGCACUUCAACGUGACUGUUAUUUUGAAGAUGGCUCCAAAUUUAUCCCCGCUCGUAAGACGAUUACCUACAUGUCAUGCGGAGCAAAAUAUAUCUUUCUCAUAUAUAUUAGGAAAGUAAUUACAAUCAUAAGGGUAAAUAUUUUCGAGCGCUAUGCAAACAGAGGAGAGGUUUGGAAAUCCUCUUUUCUGUUGGCAUUCAGGGCAGCGCUUUGACAACAAGAAAUGCCCCGCGCCUCGGCCGGGUACCUGGGCUGUUAUCUGAGUACCGGGCUGUUAUGUGAGUGAGUGCCCCCACACUCACAUGGGGGAAAAAAAUAAGAAUUGAAAGAAAAAAAGAAGAGGAAAAACACGCUGUCCCUUCCCCAAACGUGUGAAAUUCAUUGUGAAUCGUGGUGAAAAUCGUGGUGCGGUAUUUCCGAUACGGCAGAAUGUUCCUUAUCAGAAGUAUUACCAUUUUUUGAAAGGGGAAAAAAAUAAUGGCAGGAGACGCAUCGUUCACAGCCCCCACUGCAAUGCAUGGUACCUCUGUAGGAGCCGUGGGGCGGGUGGGGAAGCGCCAGCGCUCCCAAAGCAAAGGAAACUGCCGCCCAGGACAGACAGGUAGCUGUGCUGAGCACAGAAAUACAGCACAGGGACAACUCAGCAACCGGGUCUCUGUUAAUUAAAAGCUGAACCUUGUUCCGAAGCGAUAGAAGGGAGAAGGGGGUGGAAAGGAAGGAAAAAAACAAUCUCGAGGGCCUGCAGGGCAGUGGCUGCUCAGUUUAAAAGACCAAACGCCCUUUCCCAGCGUGAUGUACAGAAGCUGACGCUGAAGUGGCAAGGGAGAGAGCCGGCAGGGCUGGUGCCGAGCUGCUGCAGUUCCCUCUCCCGGGGGAAGGCUCGCUCCGGGUUUUUGGGUGAUCCCGACCAGGCUUUGCAGCUCGCCAGCCUGACCUGUCAAGCGGAUUAUUUUAGAGGGAGAUUAAUAGGGGAGGCGGGCUGCAAUAAUAAUCGUUUUGUUUGAUGUGACAACUUUGAUAGGCGUUGAUUUACUUACAAACUGAUAGGCUUUUAAUUGAGCGCCUCCAUCCAGCUUGAGAUGAAAGGAAAACCGCAUUGAAAAGCUGCCCGAGUGCCCUCGAGCCUCAAUACUGAUUAGCCAUCUCGACAGUGAAUAGUUCAAGGCAUUUUCAAACUUUUUUUCCUCUCUCGGUCUCGCUCUCCUCUCCUCCUCAAAUAUCUGCCAGCCCACUCCUUUUUAAGAGAAAAUAAAUCAUUUCCAUUGUGUGCAAAUAAAAUCGACUUGACAUGCUUGCCAAUAGCUGGUAGGUAAAGGAAAGUGUGGACUGGCACUUGUUAAUUAAUUCCUCCUUUGCUCUCCUUUUUUUUUCUUUUUUUAAGUUACAAUUUUCCUUUUUAAGAGCAGGAAGACGGGUUUCAACCCCCAGGUUUUGUUGUUGGGUUUUUUGUUGUUGUUGUUGUUAUUUUUUAUUAUUAUUAUUUUUAAAGAAGAAUAAAAGCUACAGCCACCCAAACUUCAACAAGACUACACAAAGUUUUACUGCACUCCAUUUAUCAAUUGGACUUGACAACAAAAGAAAGAACGGGGGGAAAACCUGGGGCAGAUUCAAGUCACUUCCACUCUGUAUGAAGGAAGGGGGAGUUCCUUACGGGCACGGUGCGGGUUGUCAGUCCCGCUGCAGCGGCGGCAGCUUUUGUGCGAUGCUUCUCCCUCUGCCCCCCGAUCCUUUCACUGUCACGGCCUCGGAAGAACACAGCGGGCACGGCGACACGGAAGCCCGGCUCUGCCCUGCACCGACACGUUCCGGCGACACGUUCCGCGCUUCCAGAGAACACACAGAAAUUAAAAAAGUUUGUUAAAAUCGUCUUUCUAGGAGGCGAGGGCACUUCCGCGUAUCGCCCCGUUCUAUCCAACGUGCCAAAGAGCGCGGCGGUUCAAUAAAAGCCACCCGAGAUACCGACCCGGCUGCGGGACCAACGGAGCACCGCUCUGGGGGCGGGGAGGGCGUCGGAGAAAGGCGGCCCGUGGGGAGAGGGCCGCUGGGGGCCGCCCGGCGCGGGGUCCGGGGGUGGCGGUGCGGGGAAGGAGAAGGUGAAGGCGAAGGACGGGGUUCGGCGGGGCCGAGAGCGAGCGGGGAAAGUCCUUCCCCACGCCCACCCCUCCCCGAGCGGCGCCUGUUCUGGUCGGAGUCCAGGUCAGGAAUUGGCCGCGACCCCUGAAGCACUUGCCUUGUUCUUCACUUGUCAAACGUGUUUUAUCUCUAAGUGACCUUUUUGUUAAUGUUGUAGAUUGUGUGGGCCACCAUGUCAGAUCCGGAAACAAAAGUAAAAGAUUGAUUAACACGUUUUGCCUGUGGAAAAAAAAAAAAUUGUUACGGGAUGAGGAGGUGGGGAAGAGCGGGACGGGAAGUACAAAGGGGAGAGCGGCGGGCGGCGCGGGGAGCGGCAGAAGGGCCGCGGGCAGCGCUCACGCUGCGCCCCCGGAGCGGCGCAGGCG